CUAGCUGGCUGGCUCUUCGUCGCGGCUUGAGUUGCGAUCGAUGAUCAUCGUACCGGUUGAUCAUGACCCAGAAAAAUCUUCUUGUUGGUACCCAAUAAUUGGAAGCCAGUACUGAAUUGAAAUGGCGCUAGCUAGCUCACAACUUGUUCGUGGAAAGAUACGUAGUGUGGUAUUAUUAGCUCAUAUUCGACGGUUUAGCUUUGGACAGAUUCAAAGUAACUUUGGGCCAAGUGGAACACGCGCCCUCACAAAAGUUGCCCCAUCGUGUAGAUCAGGUACUAUAUUGAACUGCAUCACAGAUUUGAUAGUUUUGCUUUGGACAGAUUCCAAGCAAAUUUCAGCAAAAUGGGGCACUGUGUAGUAGUACCAUAGCUUGCCUCCAAUUAGUUUCUUCCGUAGAAGAAAAAAUUGCAAGGAAAGCACACACUUGCACUCGUCGGAAGUCUACGAUAGAGAUGGAACAAAACGGAAAAAGAAAGCGG
rnacentral:lncRNA from 1 species